GAAGGUGUGCUGUGAGGCAUGCUGGAGGUAUCAGAAGUGCGAAUGCUGACAUAAGUAACGAUAAAGCGGGUGAAAAGCCCGCUCGCCGGAAGACCAAGGGUUCCUGUCCAACGUUAAUCGGGGCAGGGUGAGUCGACCCCUAAGGCGAGGCCGAAAGGCGUAGUCGAUGGGAAACAGGUUAAUAUUCCUGUACUUGGUGUUACUGCGAAGGGGGGACGGAGAAGGCUAUGUUGGCCGGGCGACGGUUGUCCCGGUUUAAGCGUGUAGGCUGGUUUUCCAGGCAAAUCCGGAAAACUAAGGCUGAGGCGUGAUGACGAGGCACUACGGUGCUGAAGCAACAAAUGCCCUGCUUCCAGGAAAAGCCUCUAAGCAUCAGGUAACAUCAAAUCGUACCCCAAACCGACACAGGUGGUCAGGUAGAGAAUACCAAGGCGCUUGAGAGAACUCGGGUGAAGGAACUAGGCAAAAUGGUGCCGUAACUUCGGGAGAAGGCACGCUGAUAUGUAGGUGAAGUCCCUCGCGGAUGGAGCUGAAAUCAGUCGAAGAUACCAGCUGGCUGCAACUGUUUAUUAAAAACACAGCACUGUGCAAACACGAAAGUGGACGUAUACGGUGUGACGCCUGCCCGGUGCCGGAAGGUUAAUUGAUGGGGUCAGCGCAAGCGAAGCUCUUGAUCGAAGCCCCGGUAAACGGCGGCCGUAACUAUAACGGUCCUAAGGUAGCGAAAUUCCUUGUCGGGUAAGUUCCGACCUGCACGAAUGGCGUAAUGAUGGCCAGGCUGUCUCCACCCGAGACUCAGUGAAAUUGAACUCGCUGUGAAGAUGCAGUGUACCCGCGGCAAGACGGAAAGACCCCGUGAACCUUUACUAUAGCUUGACACUGAACAUUGAGCCUUGAUGUGUAGGAUAGGUGGGAGGCUUUGAAGUGUGGACGCCAGUCUGCAUGGAGCCGACCUUGAAAUACCACCCUUUAAUGUUUGAUGUUCUAACGUUGACCCGUAAUCCGGGUUGCGGACAGUGUCUGGUGGGUAGUUUGACUGGGGCGGUCUCCUCCUAAAGAGUAACGGAGGAGCACGAAGGUUGGCUAAUCCUGGUCGGACAUCAGGAGGUUAGUGCAAUGGCAUAAGCCAGCUUGACUGCGAGCGUGACGGCGCGAGCAGGUGCGAAAGCAGGUCAUAGUGAUCCGGUGGUUCUGAAUGGAAGGGCCAUCGCUCAACGGAUAAAAGGUACUCCGGGGAUAACAGGCUGAUACCGCCCAAGAGUUCAUAUCGACGGCGGUGUUUGGCACCUCGAUGUCGGCUCAUCACAUCCUGGGGCUGAAGUAGGUCCCAAGGGUAUGGCUGUUCGCCAUUUAAAGUGGUACGCGAGCUGGGUUUAGAACGUCGUGAGACAGUUCGGUCCCUAUCUGCCGUGGGCGCUGGAGAACUGAGGGGGGCUGCUCCUAGUACGAGAGGACCGGAGUGGACGCAUCACUGGUGUUCGGGUUGUCAUGCCAAUGGCACUGCCCGGUAGCUAAAUGCGGAAGAGAUAAGUGCUGAAAGCAUCUAAGCACGAAACUUGCCCCGAGAUGAGUUCUCCCUGACUCCUUGAGAGUCCUGAAGGAACGUUGAAG
rnacentral:rRNA from 1 species